rnacentral:lncRNA from 1 species
AUUCGUCCUGUUGUGGGCUCAGGGCCCCAGGAGUCACUUAGCCCUUCCUCUUUCAAUUCUUGGCGCAGAGGAUGAGAAGAUGACAAGAAGUGGGCGUUUCUUAAACUCUGCACCCAGUGCCUUCUCAUGCAUUGAUGCCUCCUUGGAGGAGCCCUCCCUGACCAUUCUGAGGGCAACAGUUGUUCCCUGGUUUUUCUCAGCCACAGCCCUGCUCUGCUUGGACCACCUUUGUCCCAGAAUGCAAAGUCCCCUGGAGUCAUUGGAAUGCAGGUUCCUACUCGGAGGCCUGGGUUUCCAACAAUCUCCCAGUUCCUAGGCCCAGAUGUCCACCCUCCUUCACGAGCUCAGAAUUGAGCUCGUAUCGCCAACAUGUUUUGCGGAAAUGCUCAUAUCAACACUUGGUGAACCAGGAAGACUGUACCCUCAUUCCUUUCUCCUGCUGCCUGCUAGGUUGAGUUAGAAAGCUUACUCUCGAGUUUUACUGGCUUGCUUGUGCUUUUUGGCAUUUUCAAAAUUUUGUACAAUGAUCUUCAAAAAGCAAAAAUACAUUAAUUUUUUUAAAGGUAGGAUCCAUAUGAGAUUGGAUCUUCAUCUUCUAACACUUUGGAGAACAGAAAAGUGGUAUUUGGAGAUAUAAUCUUCAUAAGAAUUGUGGCACUGAAUAAAAGAGCACUGGAAGAGGAAAGAAACAUAAAGGAAAGAAAGGAAAAGAAAAGACCAAAAGAAAAGCAAGGCUCCACUUGCAAAUGAGAGAGCAACUUGGAAAACCUGCCACUCACUACCACUGAUGCCCACAAGAGGGCGUCUCAGGGUCAUCCGGAAGGCAAAACUCAAGUCCAAGAUCCGCUUCCCAGCAGCUGGAAAUGACCAAUGAGUAGGUUCUGGAAUAUCAGCAAUGACCCUGGCUCUCCAGCACUUUACAGUUUACAUUAGACUCUCCUCCCCGACGUCAUUUGCACCUCCCAAGGCCAGUUCUCCCGGUGGUUUCCAGCCCUGGGGCGUUUGUGGUUCUCUCUGCCUAGUGGGAUGCAACUGGCAUUUAGUGUUUGUCCGUAUGUGGGUGUGGCUGGGGAGGGCAGAGAGGCAAACAGCCCCGCACAAGCUGUACAGUCCCCCUCAUCAAGAUGUGGCACUCCCUCUUUGCCAAUAGCAACUCCUUUUUGAAACACUGGGCCUGAAGCAAUCAUCUUGAAGACAUUUUUCAUCAAUCUUGUUGAAAUCAACCUGGUUUUUCAAAAUAGAGGAAGCACAUCAAUGAACAGACAGCCUUGCCCCAUUUCUUCUGGGAAGAGUCACAGGAGGGCCUGCAGUGGGCAGGCAGGGACCGUGUCUUUUCUCUACCACACUGGGAAGGGAGGGAAGGGGGGCAACUUGGCUGAAACCCACAAUGGGCACUUAGCAUAUGUUGUCACUUUUAGGGCCCACAACAACCUAGGAGGGAGAUAUCAAUUAUCCUCAUUUUACAGAUAGGAAGACAGAGGCUCAGAGACGUUCAGCCAUCUGCCUGAUGCCACCCAGCUUUUCAGAAACACAUAGAAUCAAGAUUUUUUUUUUUUUGAGACUGAGUUUUGCUCUUGUUGCCCAGGCUGGAGUGCAAUGGGGCGAUCUCAGCUCGCUGCAACCUCCACCUCCUGGGUUCAAGCGAUUCUCCUGCCUCAGCCUCCUGAGUAGCUGGGAUUACAGGCGCCCACCACCACGCCCAGCUAAUUUUUUUAUUUUUAGUAGAGAUGGGGUUUCACCAUGUUGGCCAGGCUGGUCUCAAACUCCUGACCUCGUGUUCCGCCCACCUCGGCCUCCCAAAGUGCUGGGAUUACAGGCGUGAGCCACCAUGCCCAGCCAGAAUCAAGAUUUUUAACCCCAGAAAGGCCCAGGCUCCCCCAGCCCCACCACGGCUUCUAUUGAGGCAGAUACCAGCUUGGAGGUGGUUUUCCGAGAAGCCGUGAAAAACUGGGGUGGGCUGGGCUCAGGCUGUGACUCAGGGGGCCAAAUUACCCCCUCCAGAAUUCUAGCAGGCUGCGGGGAGGCCCAUCUCUGGUUCAAAUGUUCUGCGAGCUAGUGCAUGAAAUCUGUUCUUUUCCCCAUUAAUGCUUGCUGUACUUACACUUCUUACUAUAAUUACUCUGCAGUAAUUAACAAGGGAAAAUAACACAUCUGGGUCUAUACUUCGGCUCCAAACAGAUGUACAAGAUGCAGAGGCAUGCAGAGGUCCUUUCACUUAUUCGGCAAAUCUGGAUGGAGCAUCUACUAUGCACCAGCCUGCUGAACUGCAGGUGUCCCUCAGUGAGCCAGGGAGCACAGCCCCUGCUGGGCAUGAAGGCGGAGUCUUUGGCAGGAGGAAGGGGAAGUGCCAAGGCCCUGGGGUAGGAAUGGGUUUAUCAUGUUUUGAGAAGCUCCAAAGGCCAGUGUGACUGAAGCAGAAUGUAUGGUUAGUGCAGGUGGGAGACAGGUCAGGGAAGGGGUGGAAAAAGACCUUGGAGGGCUCUGGAAGGCACCAGAAAGCAGCUGGAUGGAAUGCAGUGGGAAGCCCACUGGAAGGGAUGAGGCAGGGUCAUGGUAGACUCUGAUUUUGUCUAUUUCAAAAGGGACUGGGGCUGCCCUUUAUAUCUGUGUGAAUAAUCUGUAUGGGGGAGGACAAGAGAAGAAGCCAGGAGACCAGUUGGAGUGGGCAUGGUAGAAGCAGAAAGGAUGAAUUUGGUGCAUAUUUUGGAGUUAAUGUCCAUGGGAUUCACUGAUGGAUUGAAUGUGGAGGUGGGAAAUAGGAAUGAAGGGACACUUGGUCAAGGUGUGACAGUGCUAUAGCUGUGAGUCGCAGUCAUCUGGAAAUGCAUUCAUUCAUUUAUUCACUUAUUUAGCAAAGACUGAAGGCCUGCUACAUGCCAGGCCCUGUGCGAAGCACUGGGGAUAGAUCAGUGAGCGACAGCCACUGUGGUCCCUGCCCUCAGACACCACAUGCAGAGUGCCAGACACGGCAGGAAUGAAGCGGCAAACCGGGGGGAAGGAGGAUGGAAGGUCCAGGGUCUCAAAGCUGCUAGGGUUGGGGUGGUGGGCAGGGAGGUUUCCCUGAGGAAGUGAGAGCUCCCCAGCUCCCCUGAGAUCUGAACAAUUGGUGGGGGAAAGGGAAAGGGUGUUCAUGGAGGUAUUGUGAUGACCAGAGGAGGCAGCAGUGUUUUUUUAUUUUUAUUUUUAUUUUUAUAUUUUUUUCUAGAGACAGGGUCCCACUCUGUCACCCAGGCUGGAGUGCAGUGGUGCCAUCAGGGCUCACUGUUACCUCAAACUCCUGGGUUCAAGCAACCCUCCCACUUCACCCUCUUGAGUAGCCGGGACUACAGGCAUGUACCACUGUGCCUGGCUAUUUUUUUUUUCUUAAAAAAAUUAUUUUUCAGAGAGGGCGGUUCUUGCUAUGUUGCCAAGGCUGUUCCUGAACUCCUGGUCUCAAGCUAUUACAGGCAUGUGCCCCAUGACCAGCAGCACUGGUGUUUGAAGGGAGGCUCUAGUAGAGGCAGUGAGCGUUGUGACCUGCAAAGGAGGCUGGGGCUGUUCCACGUGGGCACAGAAGGCUCAGAUACCUCCUCAGCAGUAGAAGCAUCUCACAGCGGUGGAACAGGAGGACCAGCAUUGAUUUCCUGCAUCUCAGAUCCCUCUGCUUGCUGGGCAGAGACUGGAUUGGAGAUGACUAUUGCAAUAGAGAGAAGGGGACAGCCUGCAGAUAGGCUUUGGGUUUCACACACAGGAUUUGGUGAUGGUUUGGCUGUCAGGAGGACAAGGAGAAAAGAGAGGGAGGAGUGGAGGGUGAGUCCUCUAUUUCUUGCUUGAGCAACUGAGCAGUUGGAGAAACCAUUUAUUGAGGAAAGGAAGACUCAGGAUUUUGGAGAAAAGAUUAGGAACUCAAAAUUUGAUUGACAUUUUGAGCAACAAACGAGAGUGAGGACAGAGAGAGAUUCCUCAAGACUAAGGAGGGAGUCUGGGUCUGCAGAUCCCAUAGGUGCCUGGCUCCAGGUGGGACGGGCUGGAGUCAGCUUUUGUUUUGAUUCUAGAAAAAUAGUCAUGCGGCGAUAUUUCUUGUAUCUAGAGUUUCUGGAGUGAAGGUCACACCCACUGAUAUGGUUUGGCUGUGUCCCCACCCAAAUCUCAUCUUGUAGUUUCCAUAAUCCCCACAUGUUGUGGGAGGGACCAGGUGGAGAUGAUUGAAUCAUGGAGGCUGUUUCCCCCAUCCUGUUCUCGUGAUAAUAAGUUAGUUCUCAUGAGAUCUGAUGGUUUCAUAAGGAGCUUCCUCUUUCACUGGGCACUCAAUUUUCUUCCUUCCUGCUGCCGGGUGAAGAAGGAUGUGUUUGCUUCCCCUUCUGCCAUGAUUGUAAGUUUCCUGAGGCCUCCCCAGCCAGGCCAAACUGUGAGUCCAUUGAACCUCUUUCCUUUAUAAAUUACCCGGUCUCGGGUAUGUCUUUAUUAGCAGCUUGAAAACAGACUAAUACACCCACCAUACACAUAUAUAUGCAUAAAACACUCUGGGAGGCUCCAAACCACAACCUCUUUCUCUCUGGGCGCUGAGGGUGGAGGGUGAUAUUUUUCUCUUCCUUUUGUUCUUUUUGUGUUUUCUCAUUCUAGAUUAAACAUGGAUUAUUUAUUUUCCUGUCUCUUUCCUCUUUUCUGUCCUCAUCCUUGCAAAGGAACCCAAAGUUCCAGCCAUAUGGGCCUGGAACUGGGGUGUCCAGGAGAAAAAAGGCCACCCUGACUCCAUGGAGCACU